GACGAACGCUGGCGGCGUGCUUAACACAUGCAAGUCGAACGGAAAGGCCCUGCUUUUGUGGGGUGCUCGAGUGGCGAACGGGUGAGUAACACGUGAGUAACCUGCCCUUGACUUUGGGAUAACUUCAGGAAACUGGGGCUAAUACCGGAUAGGAGCUCCUGCUGCAUGGUGGGGGUUGGAAAGUUUCGGCGGUUGGGGAUGGACUCGCGGCUUAUCAGCUUGUUGGUGGGGUAGUGGCUUACCAAGGCUUUGACGGGUAGCCGGCCUGAGAGGUUGACCGGCCACAUUGGGACUGAGUUACGGCCCAGACGCCUACGGGAGGCAGCAGUGGGGAGUAUUGCACAAUGGGCGGAAGCCUGAUGCAGCAACGCCGCGUGCGGGGUGACGGCCUUCGGGUUGUAAACCGCUUUCGCCUGUGACGAAGCGUGAGUGACGGUAAUGGGUAAAGAAGCACCGGCUAACUACGUG
rnacentral:rRNA from 1 species